GAUGAACGCUGGCGGCGUGCCUAAUACAUGCAAGUCGAGCGAACGGACGAGAAGCUUGCUUUUCUGAUGUUAGCGGCGGACGGGUGAGUAACACGUGGAUAACCUACCUAUAAGACUGGGAUAACUUCGGGAAACCGGAGCUAAUACCGGAUAAUAUUUUGAACCGCAUGGUUCAAAAGUGAAAGACGGUCUUGCUGUCACUUAUAGAUGGAUCCGCGCUGCAUUAGCUAGUUGGUAAGGUAACGGCUUACCAAGGCAACGAUGCAUAGCCGACCUGAGAGGGUGAUAGGCCACACUGGAACUGAGACACGGUCCAGACGCCUACGGGAGGCAGCAGUAGGGAAUCUUCCGCAAUGGGCGAAAGCCUGACGGAGCAACGCCGCGUGAGUGAUGAAGGUCUUCGGAUCGUAAAACUCUGUUAUUAGGGAAGAACAUAUGUGUAAGUAACUGUGCACAUCUUGACGGUACCUAAUCAGAAAGCCACGGCUAACUACGUG
rnacentral:rRNA from 1 species